rnacentral:rRNA from 1 species
GAGUUUGAUCCUGGCUCAGGAUGAACGCUGGCGGCGUGCUUAACACAUGCAAGUCGAACGAAGCGCCUUAUUUGAUUUUCUUCGGAACUGAAGAUUUGGUGACUGAGUGGCGGACGGGUGAGUAACGCGUGGGUAACCUGCCCUGUACAGGGGGAUAACAAUCAGAAAUGACUGCUAAUACCGCAUAAGACCACAGCACCGCAUGGUGCAGGGGUAAAAACUCCGGUGGUACAGGAUGGACCCGCGUCUGAUUAGCUGGUUGGUGAGGUAACGGCUCACCAAGGCGACGAUCAGUAGCCGGCUUGAGAGAGUGAACGGCCACAUUGGGACUGAGACACGGCCCAAACUCCUACGGGAGGCAGCAGUGGGGAAUAUUGCACAAUGGGGGAAACCCUGGAUGCAGCAACGCCGCGUGAGUGAAGAAGUAUUUCGGUAUGUAAAGCUCUAUCAGCAGGGAAGAAAGUGACGGUACCUGACUAGAAGCCCCGGCUAACUACGUGCCAGCAGCCGCGGUAACACCG